GAAAAACUACCAUGAUACUGCCAAAAGUAAAGGAAGUUAGAAAAAUUCAUAUAUAUCUUCUCUUCUGACUAAACUAUGACAUGUUUAAGCUUUAAAAAAUAGAAAAUUGAAAGACUGGACAAAUAGAAAAGCCUCAGCGUUCAAUAGGUAGAUGCACAAGGAAUGCAAAACACUCCAACAAGAUUACCCUUAGAAACCAAUCUAUCAAGCAUUAAAGAAACUAAAUGAUUUCUCAC
rnacentral:misc_RNA from 1 species